UUCAAACUGCUUGGUUCGUCACUGAACGCACAAAUAAUUGAACCAACACUUGAAUUACGGGAGGCUAAUGCCGGCUUCGGUGCAAUCUUCCAUGUUGAAGAUUUGCCAUAGAGGACGGUUACGAUGUUCCUUCGGGAACAGAUUGCCACCCACCUGUUAUAAGCAGGUUCGAUUCAAGCGUUUGGAACGGCUUUUGCGGUUCUCUC
rnacentral:other from 1 species